CAAAGCUUCCGUAAGUCUUUCUCGAUCUCAGCCAAUAUGAUUAUGAUUAUGCUUGUGAAGUUAAUUUCUUCGUUUAAUUAGGUUGGAUGGCUGAGCUUCCUUUAGUCGGAAACGAAAUUCCUUGACAACUUCUGCAAAGCAAGUGAUUGCUUCAGCGCAAUCCGACUGAUUCUUCUGAACCUCGAUCGGGAGCGCGGUAGCUAUGGCCUUAAGGAGUCGGUGCUGGCAAUUUCGCCCUCGUCGCCGCCAAGACUGCUGAUUGCAUAUGAGAAUGGUCUGAUUGUUCUCGGGAUGCUUUAGAAGAUCAAGUUGUGCUUGUAAGAGGUUCCAAGGACCUGCAAGUGAAGGAAGAAACAGUCCAUAAUUCUUUUGAAGGCACAAGAACUGAGCUGACUGAUGCUACAUCAGGCAGCAAACAGGUGGAGAAAGAGAUAAGCUCUCUUUGUUGGGUAUGCGAUAAUGGGUCAAGUCUUGCUGUUGGCUAUGUAGAUGGUGAUAUAAUGUUUUGGGAUAUAUCAACUGCUGAGUCUACCAAGGAUCAUAGAUCUAAAAAAUUAGCUAACAAUGUUGCGAAGCUAGAGUUAUCAUCAGAUGACAAGAGACUCCUUGUCAUAGUUUUACACUGGUCUGCAAAUAGGUUAAGUCAUCAUCCUAGGGGCCAACUCUUUGUUUAUGGAGGUGAAGGAAUUGGGUCUGAAGAAGUUCUCACGAUAUGGUUUUACUUCCAGCUACUGGUGCAAUGGAGAAUGGUGACACAUUGCUUUUCACUUUGACAAAUCAGGGACAACUGCAUGUCUAUGACAAGGCUUGCUGGUCUGCCUUAAUGUCUCACCAAAAGAAAAGGAUUGAUGGGACUGCAGUGCAGUAUCCUAUGUUUAUACCUACUACUAAACCGUGUAUGACAGUGGUAAAGCUUGCUUUGGUGGAUAGAGAUGGGAAAUACUCCUCAGCUCUGUCCAAGGAAGUUUUAGUUGACAAGUCUAAUGCGAAACACACUUUGAAGAAGGGGGGUGCAAAGUGGCCUUUGACUGGUGGUGUUCCCAGCCAACUUUCUGAUGCUGAAAAUUUUUAUGUCGAGAGACUAUAUGUAGCAGGAUAU